GAUGAACGCUGGCGGCGUGCCUAAUACAUGCAAGUCGAGCGAACAGAUAAGGAGCUUGCUCCUUUGACGUUAGCGGCGGACGGGUGAGUAACACGUGGAUAACCUACCUAUAAGACUGGGAUAACUUCGGGAAACCGGAGCUAAUACCGGAUAACCUAUUGAACCGCAUGGUUCAAUAGUGAAAGGCGGCUUUGCUGUCACUUAUAGAUGGAUCCGCGCCGUAUUAGCUAGUUGGUAAGGUAACGGCUUACCAAGGCAACGAUACGUAGCCGACCUGAGAGGGUGAUCGGCCACACUGGAACUGAGACACGGUCCAGACUCCUACGGGAGGCAGCAGUAGGGAAUCUUCCGCAAUGGGCGAAAGCCUGACGGAGCAACGCCGCGUGAGUGAUGAAGGUCUUCGGAUCGUAAAACUCUGUUAUCAGGGAAGAACAAAUGUGUAAGUAACUGUGCACAUCUUGACGGUACCUGAUCAGAAAGCCACGGCUAACUACGUG
rnacentral:rRNA from 1 species